UGUCGUGGAGUUGAAAGGGUGCAGUUAGUAUGCCGAAGUUGUGGAAAACAUAACGAGCACCAGGAUGUUGCCUUCACAGUUUUAAACCUGCCAAGUAGAGAAAAAUGUCUUCAAACGGUGGAAAAUAUGCUGCUAAACUACUUCGAGCUGGAAGAUAAGGAAUUUAAAUCUUCAUUUUGUGUCUGUGAAGAAAAAGAGAAAGAUAUCGUAGAAUUGCGACAGCCAAUGAAACUACCAUCGAGUCUAAUUUGCAACAUCCUCCCAGUAACAAAGAAUGGGGAAAAACAGCAUGUUCGCCUUAAGUUACAGGAAUUAAUUGGCGUUCACGACUUGUUGGGACGAAGACAUACAUACAAACUUUCAGCUUUUAUAACACACUAUGGAAUUGAUGCAAAAGAGGGUCAUUUCAACUGUACGGUUUUACGAAAUAAAAGGUGGUUUCUAAUCGACGACAAACUGGUCAAGCCACAACAGUUGUGCGA